UACGCCUUCAUGAAGUCGGAAUUGCUAGUAAUGGCAGGUCGGCAUACUGCCGUGAAUACGUUCCCGGGCCUUGUACACACCGCCCGUCACACCAUGAGAGUUGGAGAUACCCGAAGCCUAUGAGCUAACUUUUAGAGGCAGUAGUCGAAGGUAGAAUCAAUGAUUGGGGUGAAGUCGUAACAAGGUAUC
rnacentral:rRNA from 1 species